UACGAAGGGGGCUAGCGUUGUUCGGAUUUACUGGGCGUAAAGCGCACGUAGGCGGAUCUUUAAGUCAGAGGUGAAAUCCCAAGGCUCAACCUUGGAACUGCCUUUGAUACUGGGGAUCUUGAGUCCGGGAGAGGUGAGUGGAACUGCGAGUGUAGAGGUGAAAUUCGUAGAUAUUCGCAAGAACACCAGUGGCGAAGGCGGCUCACUGGCCCGGUACUGACGCUGAGGUGCGAAAGCGUGGGGAGCAAACAGGGAGUAGAU
rnacentral:rRNA from 1 species